GCGGGCGUCCGUAGUUAUUUAUUUAUUUAGCGGCUGCAGAAAAGCUCUGCGGCGCUCGCGAAACCCGAAGACUUGCAGGGUAAGAACUGAAGCCACCAAAAGGCUUACUAUACCACACAACACCCAAGCCUUCCUUUGGGGCAUGGGGACAGUGGAUCUAUGGCUCCUCAGGGUGCCAACCAAUUGAAGAAGGAAGCCAGCUCCACUCAACAGCUUCUACAAAGGAAGGGCCACAGGAGAGGGGCUUCAGUGGUUCCAGGCAGCUGCUUCAUUCACAACAGAAUGGCCAUUUUCUCCAGCAUGGCCAACUAUCCCUAGUCUUUUUGUCAUGACAGCCUAGAAGGCAGAAGCUAGGGCCAAGGCGGCUGCUAAGGAAUUCCUACUCCUACUGGGGCCUAAUGUCAGGCUUUCCUUAUAUUGUGGAGUGGGCCCUGGAAGAUAGUUAGAGACCCUUCCUGCUGGGCACCCUGAAGAGGAGCAAGAGGAUCUGGUGAGCAAAAUGAAGCAAAAGUGCAGUGCUGGAGCUGACAGCCCUGUUCCCUACUGCACGCAGUUGGCUCAGGGCUGUCCCCCACUUUGGAGCUUCUUGCCACUCACGGGCUACCCUGCACACACUACUUACUGCCCAGGCCUGUCUGCCACCACAGUACCCUGUGCCUGAGACCUUUCCUGGCCUCUGCUGGAUCCCAGGCCUAGUAUCAUUCCUAGGGACUCCAGAGGCAAGUCCAGGCUAAUAUGCUCUGGGAAAACAAUGUACAAUGUACAUGUUUGCCUUUUGACGUAGAUAAAUGAUACCUGGAUCCCAGGUCUGGCUCUGGGGCAGGGGAGCUUCAGGCCUGGCUAUGGCAGAACACUGAAGGAGGUACUUUGGGUUUUCACAACCUCUUAAAUCAUCUCAGAGAGAGAGUGAACAACUUACUUUCACAUGCACAAGCUGCCGCUGGCUCUGUCACAAGAAGAUGGACUACAAGUAAUAAAAUCAAGAUGAAGUUCUGUGUACAUCUUUCCAGCUUACAAGAAUUGUAGAAAGUUGAAGAUGAAAGGGAUAUUAAAGAGCAUCUCAUUCUACCUCCUCAUUUUGCAGCUGUAAGAACCGAGGCCCAGGGAGGGGGACUGGGGAAGCCACCAUCACACAGCUGCUCCGUGGCAGGAGUUGUGCUAACUUUCUGUGGCUGUUGCCAUUACACCCAGCAUCUUUUGACUUUUGAAAACAGCGAAGGAGAAAUCAGUCCUCCCAGCAUCUUCACCUCCCACGACGUUUAUUGUUUCCAGCUGUUAAAAAUUGGCCCUUUAAAAAUGGGUCGUCUUGCCAGUCAUUGAGGGUCACCGCGGUGGGGAGUGCUGAUUUAGAGGGCGGCAGAACAGGGAGGUGAUUGGAGGCAUAAUUGCCAGUCUCCUCCUUGGCACCUGGGGAUUUCUGUCAUUCAAGUCUCAGGGUGUGUGCCCUCAGCAAAUACUAACCCACAGAGUCAAUUGCUAACUGCAGUCAUCUGUGCAUUUGCCCUCUGGGGAUGGAAAGCCAUAAGAAAUGCCAUUUCCUAAUCUAGUUGGCCUUGGAUGAGAAGAUGUUUUUGCCUAAUGGAAGCCUUUGGAGAGUGAAUAAUGUGAAUAAUGUGUAUUUAGGACCUACAGUGCUCCCCAGGAUGCUGUAAGGGACCUGGUUAUAAAGAAAAAAACCUCACUGAUGGUCUUGGCUUUGUCCUUGUCUGAGUUAAGUCCUUUUGGUUGGAAGUAAUCAACUUGAGCUGACGUAAGCAUUAAGGGACAUAGAAGAGUAUAGCAGUAUCUCAUGAAGUCCAAGGGCAGAUGGCCUCAAGGUAGCCCGAGAAGCUGCUAGGAACCUAGACAGUCCACCUUCUCCAGCUUUCUUCUCUGCUUCGUGUCUCCCUCUGCAAUCCACUUUCUUCUCUGUGAGUAGCUGGGCAGAGGAUAAUCCCUCAACAACUAUCACAUCUACAUCUUCUCUCCUAAAGAGAUUAGCCAAAGGUGAGUGGCUGUCCUCAGUCCAAUACCAGAUUCCUGGGAGAGGGAAUUUGGUUGUCCCAGCCUGGGUCAGGUGCACAGCUUGAUCCAAUCAGGUGUGCCCAGGAGAGGGUGCCCUGAGACAGGCACAUCUGGGGACACUCAUCCUCAUGAAUGACCGGACAGUUCUCCAGGAAAGAAGAGAGAAGAGUGGAGGUCAGACAUUUCAAAUGUAUAUUAUAGGCAUCAAAUUAGUUACUGAUACAGAAAAAUGGCAAUGUCUAAGUAGGGGGCUUGAGAAACAGUUCAAACACUGUAUAGAUUUUGAUUAUUUGCUUAACUUCCAGGAUGAUAAAUUGUCUAUUAUGGAGCUGUAUUUUUUUUUUGGAGACAGAGUCUUGCUGUUUGGCUGGAGGAGUGUACAGUGGAGUUUUCCAGAAGGCAUAUGCCAUGUGCAUCACCACAGCUUAAAUGCAGAAACAGACAUGAGGAUCUAGCUGUGUCCUACUAAGCCAGACAUUCAGGACAUCUAAAAGUGUAAAACAAUGCCACUCUUCUCACUAACUUUUUUGUUUUGGAAAAUAUAUCUUUCAUAAAAUAUUGAUUAUGUUGAUAUAUUACGGGUUUGUUGUUAUUAUUUUAAAUGAAUUAAUAAAUAAUUUUCUGAUUUAAUUUCUAUUACUGUAAAUAUUGAUGGAUAUAUCCUGUAUAAGCAAAAACUCUCUGGGGUUCUCAACUAUUUUUAAGAGUGUAAAGGGGUCAUUAGAGAACUGCUCAAGAAUGUUAGUAUUAUUUAAAGAGCUUCUGCACAGAAAAACUAUCAACAGAGUAAACAAACAAACUACAGAAUGGGAGAAAAUCUUCACAAGCUGUGCAUCUGACAGGGGCUAACAUCCAGACUCUAUAGGGAACUUAAACAUUUCAAUGAGUAAACAAUAAUUAACCCCAUUAAAAAGUGGGCAAAGGACAUGAACAGACACUUCUCAAAAGAAGACAUACAAGCAGCCAACAGACAUGAAAAAAUGUUCCACAUCACUACUCAGAGAAAUGCAAAUUUAAACCACAGGGAGAUACCAUCUCACUCUAGUCAGAAUGGCUAUUAUUAAAAAGUCAAAAAAAUAAUAACAGAUGCUGUUGAGGCUGUAGAGAAAAUGUAAUGCUUAUACAUUGUUGAUGGGAACAUAAAUUAGUCCAGCCACUGUGGAAAGCAGUUUGGAGAUGCCUCAGAGAACUUAGAACUACCAUUUGACCCAGCAGUCCCAUUACUUGGUACAUACCCAAAAGAAAACAAAUGUUUCCACCAAAAAGACGCGUGUGCUCAUAUGUUCACUGCAGCACUAUUCACAAUAGCAAAGACAUGGAAUCAAUCUAGGGGUCCAUCAGUGGUGGGUUAGAUAAAGACCAUGUGGUACACAUACACCAUGAAAUACUGCCCAGCCAUAAAAAAGAACGAAAUCAUGUCCUUUGCAGCAACAUGGAUGCAGCUGGAAGCUGUUAGCCCAAGUGAAUUAAUGCAGGAACAGAAAACCAAAUCCUGCAUUUUCUCACUUAUAAGUGUGAGCUAAACAUUGAGUACACGUGGACGUAAAGAUGGAAACAGCAGACACUGGAGACUACCAGAGGA
rnacentral:lncRNA from 10 species